rnacentral:rRNA from 1 species
GAUGAACGCUGGCGGAGUGCUUAACACAUGCAAGUCGAGCGGUAAGGCCCCUUCGGGGGUACACGAGCGGCGAACGGGUGAGUAACACGUGAGCAACCUACCCUCAACUUCGGGAUAAGCCUCGGAAACGGGGUCUAAUACCGGAUAUCACUCCUUUCCUCAUGGUUUGGGGUUGAAAGUUCUGGCGGUUGGGGAUGGGC